GCGGUUAGGCCGGGAACUCAAAGGAGACUGCCAGUGAUAAACUGGAGGAAGGUGGGGAUGACGUCAAGUCAUCAUGGCCCUUACGAGUAGGGCUNCNCACGUGCUACAAUGGCGCAUACAAAGAGAANCGACCUCGCGAGAGCAAACGGACCUCAUAAANUGCGUCGUAGUCCGGAUUGGAGUNUGCCUACUCGNCUCCAUGAAGUCGGAAUCGCUAGUAAUCGUAGAUCAGAAUGGUACGGUGAAUACGUUCCCGGGCCAUUGUACACNCCGCCCGUCACACCA
rnacentral:rRNA from 1 species